AUACGUAGGUGGCAAGCGUUGUCCGGAAUUAUUGGGCGUAAAGCGCAUGUAGGCGGCGUGUUAAGUCUGUCGUGAAACUGCGGGGCUCAGCCCCGUAUGGCGAUGGAAACUGAUGUGCUUGAGUGCAGGAGAGGAAAGGGGAACUCCCAGUGUAGCGGUGAAAUGCGUAGAUAUUGAGAAGAACACCGGUGGCGAAGGCGCCUUUCUGGACUGUGUCUGACGCUGAGAUGCGAAAGCCAGGGUAGCGAACGGGAUUAGAUACCCCGGUAGUCCUGGCCGUAAACGAUGGGUACUAGGUGUGGGAGGUAUCGACCCCUUCCGUGCCGGAGUUAACGCAAUAAGUACCCCGCCUGGGGAGUACGGCCGCAAGGCUUAAACUCAAAUGAAUUGACGGGG
rnacentral:rRNA from 1 species